ensembl:lncRNA
CGGGAAGUAUGGUGGAGGUGCUUACAUUUACGCUGUAAUGACGGGAAGUAUGGUGGAGGUGCUUACAUUUAUGGUGUAAUGACAGGAAGUAUGGUGGAGGUGCUUGCAUUUACAGCGUAAUGACAGGAAGUAUGGUGGAGGUGCUUACAUUUACGGUGUAAUGACAGGAAGUAUGGUGGAGGUGCUUGCAUUUACAGCGUAAUGACAGGAAGUAUGGUGGAGGUGCUUACAUUUACGGUGUAAUGACAGGAAGUAUGGUGGAGGUGGUUACAUUUGUGGUGUAAUGACAGGGGCAAAAUACAUUUGGGUCCUUUGCCAGGCAAGUUUGUAACAGUUCCAGUUGCUCUGAACUUGUUUAGUAUUGCCCUAACGGUAGAUACAGGCAUUUUCAGAUUAGUAGCUAUUUUUUAUAGCCAUUCCCUGACUUAUGAAGCUCAACACACUUUUCCUUCAUUUCAUUUGUGUGUUCUCUUAUCUUUCCCAUGUUGAUGUAUGAAUAAUGGAAUAUGGCCUCUGUGUCACCUCAUAUUUAUACCCCUGUGAAACAGGAAGUCAUGGAUGAUUACUUGACAGUUCCUCAACACUCUAAUCAACUUAACGUACAAUUUGUUACAUUUUGUUCAUUAGUAAAUAAUUGUGGCACACAUGCUUUUGUUAGAAAUAAUUAUUUCUUGGCGACAGGUUUUCUCCUCUGUAUAAAUGUACUUCCAUUAAAGGUUGGAUAUUUCUCUUUUUUUUUUCAGUGUGACAUUAAGAUAAUUCACCAAAAGAUAAAAAAUGGCUCCAUGGGCAGCAGAGCACUGUGCCGCCCUGGUGUGAGGAGAAACCCUGUGGACUGAGGAGAGAGAGAGGCGCAGUACCAACCCCACACAUUUGGGUUCUACUCUUCCCCCCUUGAGAACCUCUAGUCUACCGGCCGGAACCUAGGACACGCCCUUUUGGAACCCUGCCAUGAACCCCCCCCCCCAGAUGGUGACAUAAUCUGAGUCCCACAAAGACUCUGUCCCCAAUGGCACCCUAAUCCUUGUAUUAUCCACUCUAAGUAAUGCACUAAAUAGGGUGUCAUGGGUGGAGAUGGUAUUUUAUGUUUUAACCACCCCUUUUUAAAGUGUUUAACUGAAAAGCCAUUUUGCAUGUUCCUCUUCUGUUAGCUCGCAGGGGAUUUUGUUUUAAUUUUUUAUGGUUGUUUUUUAAAAUUUAAGAUUAUUUGUUGAUUUGUCUCAUGCACUGACGUCCCCAUCUCCUCCAUGGUGGACCUUGGAUGAGGUCUUCUGGUGGGCCAUGGAUGAGGUCUUCUGGUGGACCUUGGAUGAGGUCUUCUGGUGGGCCGUGGAUGAGGUUGAAGCUGUGGCUGUUUGUGUCUCUGUAUCUCUGUGUGCUCCUGUCUGCCUGCUUCUGGGGUGCUGAGUCUGUAUUUUAGAGGGGGAAGAAGGCUCUGGAACCUGAUGGACUCUACAGGUGUUAACUGACAGUUUGUAUUAAACUCCAUAGGAGAGCAUCCACAGUGGGUUAGAGAUAUCAUCUGGGCCCCUUCUUGCCCUCUAAACACUGUUGGUGUCAUACAUUCAUCAUUAUUCAAGCAGGGACAUAUGUGCUGAGUAUAUGGCUCUGUAUCUGGGGUCCCUAAACAGACCCCUGGUCCCUGACCCCCCUGUGCAGGGGGUAUGGGAGGGCAAAGGGAUACAAUAAACAUGCUUUUGUUUUGAUUAUGCGUAUUGUGGCCACAGUGCCUCUGAUUGGUCGGCCUGGUAGCUGUAAUGGAAGGUUCCACCCCCUGGCAUGGGUGGAUGUUUGCUGCUAGUGCUCUGUCCAUAGAGAUGGUUGGAGGACUGUGGGAAAAGGUGUUUUAAAUUGAAGUUGCCAGUGACUGCAUUGACCAUUUUAAUUUAGUUGACAGGGAUGGGCUUGCAUCUUGAUUGGCGGAUUGCUUCUGAUGUCCAGUAUGGUUGUGUGAUCACAACUGCCAUCAGGAGGUGUCAGCCUAUAGGAAUACAGAAAGUAACUACAUCAACCUGGAAGGAGAUGGCCUCAUUGGUGCUUCCCAUGCUGGAAAAUAAUUUUUUAGUGGCACAGAAACACAGAUCUCUCUCCAUCUGUAUGGUUUUGUCUAAGACCUGCUUAUCAAAUACACUUUCUUUACAAAUAAACUUUCUUUACAAAAAGAAACGUGUGAAGUCAGUAAUUUCCCAGAUGAUUUUUGGUAUCCCUACUUGUUCUCACUGAAGUUAAAAACACCUGGAAAAAGAUUUCUCCAACAGCGAAUGUUACAUCAGGAUGGGAUCGUGUGUCUCAACACUUCGCUCGUUCUCAACCGGUUCACAAUUGCUUACUUGCUGAAGCUAGCUACCUAAUGAAACAUGUUUUGUCAGUCUCCAAUGGACAAUUCGCAGUUUAGUUCUGUUUUAGUAAGGGAUUGUCCUACCUAGAGAUCUGUACUCCUGCUCACAUACCACGUUCUCUCCCUGUUAUCGGCCACCCCUUAUAGCUAAACAUUGUUUCAGAACAGUUGUUGAUUAUGCCAAUAAUAGAGGGUUCUAUG